rnacentral:rRNA from 1 species
UACGAAGGGGGCUAGCGUUGCUCGGAAUCACUGGGCGUAAAGCGCACGUAGGCGGACUCUUAAGUCGGUGGUGAAAUCCUGGAGCUCAACUCCAGAACUGCCUUCGAUACUGAGAGUCUCGAGUCCGAGAGAGGUGAGUGGAACUGCGAGUGUAGAGGUGAAAUUCGUAGAUAUUCGCAAGAACACCAGUGGCGAAGGCGGCUCACUGGUCCAUUACUGACGCUGAGGUGCGAAAGCUAGGGGAGCAAACAGG